rnacentral:ncRNA from 1 species
GGUCGCCUGUAAAAUAGAUAUUGCAGCUUCCUAUUGAAAAGUAGGUUGAAUAAAACAAGGUAAAUUCGGGGAACUCCAUUUAUGGACAAUCCCGAGCCAAGCCCUAAAAUUUUUAGGGAAGGUGUAGAGACUAUCCCUUCGGGGAGUACUCUGGUAAUGUAUCAGGGGAAGCGCCUUGAUUCUAAGUCUGAAGAGAAAUCUAAAGAUAUGAAUAUGAUAUAGUCCGUCCCUUUUAGUAAUAAGAGG